GAUGAACGCUGGCGGCGUGCCUAAUACAUGCAAGUCGAGCGAACAGACGAGGCGUUUGCUCCUCUCACGUUAGCGGCGGACGGGUGAGUAACACGUGGAUACCCUACCUAUAAGACUGGGAUAACUUCGGGAAACGGGAGAUAAUACCGGAUAAUAUAUUGAACCGCAUGGUUCAAUGGUGAAAGACGGUUUUGCUGUCACGUAUAGAUGGAUCCGGGCCGCUUUAGCUAGUUGGUAAGGUAACGGCUUACCAAGGCGACGAUGCGUAGCCGAGCGGAGAGGGGGAUAGGCCACAUUGGAGCGUGGACGGCGUCCAGGCUCCUACGGGAGGCAGCAGUAGGGAAUGGGCCGCAAUGGUGGAGAGCCUGACGGAGCAGCGCCGCGUGUGUGAUGAAGGUCUUCGGAUCGUAAAACUCUGUUAUUAGGGAAGAACAAAUGUGUAAGUAACUAUGCACGUCUUGACGGUACCGGGUCAGAAAGCCACGGCUAACUACGUG
rnacentral:rRNA from 1 species